CGAGCGGUAAGGCCCUUCGGGGUACACGAGCGGCGAACGGGUGAGUAACACGUGAGCAACCUGCCCCCGACUCCGGGAUAAGCGGUGGAAACGCCGUCUAAUACCGGAUACGACCGGCCACCUCAUGGUGGCUGGUGGAAAGUUUUCUCGGUUGGGGAUGGGCUCGCGGCCUAUCAGCUUGUUGGUGGGGUAAAGGCCUACCAAGGCGAUUACGGGUAGCCGGCCUGAGAGGGCGACCGGCCACACUGGGACUGAGACACGGCCCAGACUCCUGCGGGAGGCAGCAGUGGGGAAUAUUGCGCAAUGGGCGAAAGCCUGACGCAGCGACGCCGCGUGGGGGAUGACGGCCUUCGGGUUGUAAACCUCUUUUACCACCAACGCAGGCUCCCAGUUCUCUGGGGGUUGACGGUAGGUGGGGAAUAAGGACCGGCUAACUACGUGCCAGCAGCCGCGGUAAUACGUAGGGUCCGAGCGUUGUCCGGAAUUAUUGGGCGUAAAGAGCUCGUAGGCGGCGUGUCGCGUCUGCUGUGAAAGACCGGGGCUUAACUCCGGUUCUGCAGUGGAUACGGGCAUGCUAGAGGUAGGUAGGGGAGACUGGAAUUCCUGGUGUAGCGGUGAAAUGCGCAGAUAUCAGGAGGAACACCGGUGGCGAAGGCGGGUCUCUGGGCCUUACCUGACGCUGAGGAGCGAAAGCAUGGGGAGCGAACAGGAUUAGAUACCCUGGUAGUCCAUGCCGUAAACGUUGGGCGCUAGGUGUGGGGACUUUCCACGGUUUCCGCGCCGUAGCUAACGCAUUAAGCGCCCCGCCUGGGGAGUACGGCCGCAAGGCUAAAACUCAAAGGAAU
rnacentral:rRNA from 1 species